rnacentral:rRNA from 1 species
UUUUGGACAAUGGGCGAAAGCCUGAUCCAGCAAUGCCGCGUGUGGGAAGAAGGCCUUCGGGUUGUAAACCACUUUUGUACGGAACGAAAAAGUCUGCCCUAAUACGGUGGGCUCAUGACGGUACCGUAAGAAUAAGCACCGGCUAACUACGUGCCAGCAGCCGCGGUAAUACGUAGGGUGCGAGCGUUAAUCGGAAUUACUGGGCGUAAAGCGUGCGCAGGCGGUUAUAUAAGACAGUUGUGAAAUCCCCGGGCUCAACCUGGGAAUUGCAUCUGUGACUGUAUAGCUAGAGUACGGUAGAGGGGGAUGGAAUUCCGCGUGUAGCAGUGAAAUGCGUAGAUAUGCGGAGGAACACCGAUGGCGAAGGCAAUCCCCUGGACCUGUACUGACGCUCAUGCACGAAU